UCCAACUCAUAGCGACCCUAUAGGACAGAGUAGAACUGCCCCAUAGAGUAUCCAAGGAGGCCUGGCAGAUUCGAACUGCCAACCCUUUGAUUGGCAGCCGUAGCACUUAACCAUUACGCCACCAGGGUUUCUAAACAUUCUAAGCUUCCCCAUUUACAAUUUGUCAGCACAGGCUUAUUUUUAAUUAACCGAUGUUUUCAGUGUGUUUAACCUCUAGGGAUAAUAAGAUCUGGACGCUUACCACUCUCUAACUAAAGCAGUAUUUUGCAAUAGAAUUGACAGGUUUAUUUGAUUGUAUUCUCCAGCCAAUUCAAUCUGCCUCUUACUUGGUUACAGAGCUCAAGAGUCUGAUUCUGUGUGGGAGGUACAAGAGAAUCCAGCCAGCCGGUUGUGACUCCCAGGAGAAUUAUGACCCAGGGACAACUCUGACAUAAACAUAACCAAGUGUCCUCCUAACAAUGACUUCAGAGAUCAGAAAGGAGCCAGGAUCAAAGAUAACAUGGAUAAGAUUUUGAAGAAUGGGAAUUCCAGAACACUUAAUUGUGAUCAUGAAGAACCUGUACAUAAAUCAAGAGGUGGUCGUUUGAACAGGACAAGAGGAUACUGCAUGGUUUAAAGUCAGGAAAGGUGUGCAUCAGGGUUGUAUCCUUUCACUGUACCUAUUCAAUUUGUAUGCUGAGCAAAUAAUCUCAUAAGCUGUACUAGAUGAAGAAAAACAGGGCAUCGGGAUUGGAGGAAGACUCAUUAACAACCUGUGUUAUGCAGGUGACACAACUUUGCUUGCUGAAAGCAAAGAGGACUUGAAGCACUUACUGGUGAAGAUCAAAAACCAUAGCCUUUUUUUUUUCAGUAUGUGUUACACCUCAACAUAAAGAAAACAAAAACUCUCACAUCUGGACCAAUGAACAAUGUCACAAUAAAUGGAGAAAAGAUUUGAAGUUGUCAAGGAUUCAAUUUUAUUUGGAUCCAUGAUCAACAUAUAUAGAAGCAACAGUCAAGAAAUCAAAAGACACAUGCAUUGGGCAAAUACACUGCAAAAGACCUCUUUAAAGCAUUGAAAAGCAAAGAUAUCACCUUGCAGACUAAGGUGCACCUGACCCAAGCUAUGUGAAAGCUGGACGAUGAAUAAAAAUGACCUAAGAAGAACUGAUGCCACUGAAUUGUGGUGUUGACAAAGAAUAUUGAAUAUAUCAUGAACUGCCAAAGAACGAACAAAUCUGUCUUGGAAGAAGUACAACCGGAAUACUCCUUGGAAGCAAGGAUGACGAGACUAUGUCUCAUGUGCCACCGAAUUGUGGUGUUGACAAAGAAUAUUGAAUAUAUCAUGAACUGCCAAAGAACGAACAAAUCUGUCUUGGAAGAAGUACAACCAGAAUACUCCUUGGAAGCAAGGAUGACGAGACUAUGUCUCAUGUACGUUGGACACAUUAGCAACAGGGAUCAAUCCCUGGAGAAUAACAACAUGCAUGGUAAAAAGAGGAAGACUGUCAAUGAGACGGAUUGACACCGUGGCUGCAACAAUGGGCUCAAGCAUAACAAUGAUUGUGAGGACAGCGCAGGAUUUAGCACUGUUUCGUUCUUUUGUACAUAAGGUCACUGUGAGUCAGUACCAACUCAUGGUACCCAACAACAAAUAACAACAAGGAUCAAAGAAGCUAUUCUCUGGUAUAAUAAUGAGGAAAAAGCAUGGAACUUCAUUGAGUCUGACUGAUAAGAAUAUUCUUAAGCCAAUGCAGGUAAUUUCUAGAGAACUCAGUGAGUACUCUUUGAUUUUUUAUGGUAAAUUAUUGCCUCUGAAACACCUUAGGCCCAGCCCCUAAAGAAUAGAUCUGUCUUAAAGUAAAAAAUGAAUAGAAUAGCAUCAGAUUUCUUAUAUUCUUUGAUGUCAAACUUUCCUGGCGUUUUUCUGAUU